GAGAGUCUGAAGUGAUUAUGAAAAGAAUAUUGAGCAAGAAGAGGAACUUCUUGAGUAAGAAGUGGAACUGAGAGGUGCUCAUCAUGACAUUUAAAUAUUUCCUGAGAAUUCUCAGAAAUAUUAGGGUUUCAGUGGCCCUGGUUCCCCAUGACAAAAGUACAAAGAGUACCGCAAGAAGUAAGUUGAAGAUAAGGAGUGAGGAGAAGGAAGGUUAGUGGUAAGGCCACCAGUGAUUCUAACAGCAAAGGGACAAGAAAAAAGACUGGAACUUUAUUUAGAGGAUAAAGCUGAUACCUGGCUUGCCCUCUUGCCCAGAUGGGACCUCAGGCAUAGGUUCCUAACUGUGAAUAUCCUGAUUUUGAAGAAAACAGUAGAUUAAUUGCAACUGCUGGCAGCUUUCACUUGACCUUGCAAAGGUUACAAUUAUCCAGAAAUCUCAUACCUAUGAGGGAAGCCAACUUCUGUGUCAUGAGGACAUUCAAGCAGCACUAUGGAGCCGUCCAUGUGGCUAGGAGCUGAAACUGAGCCAAGAAGCAGUGAGGAACUGGCUGGUAACAGCCAUGUGGGAAGAAAUUGUGUUUUGGAAUUGGGCCAACAGUAUGUGUUUCUCCGGUGGAUAAGCAAAAUUUCAUAAGAACAAAGAUGAUUCAAGCAGAUGUUUAUCAUGAAACUGCCAUGAAAAGCACCCGAAGUCACAAAGAUAAAUAUCAAAUCCAGUCUUUGGAAAUUUCCCCCACCCUACCUGAGCAUCUUUUGAAGUAGAUAUUCAAUUAUUUUGAAGGAUUUUUAAAGAAUUUUCUAGAUUUCAUCUAAAAGACACUUUUGAAAUCUUCGUUAAAAUUCAUGGAAAUAUAUCCUAGAUGAAUUUGGAUGAAUGUGAGCAAGUAGGUACAAACCUUUAUUUUAUCCCUCAGUGACUCACUCAGUUGUGAAUAGGAAGGGCUCUCUGUGAUCUGGCCACAGCUUAUUUCUUGCCACAUUCCUAUUUUCAGUCCUCUUCCAAUCAUGUGGAACUUCCAGCAUCUCCUUACACAUGCCAUGUUAUUUCACACUUUUGUGACUUUGCUUAUAUUUUUCUCUCUCCCUGGAAAGCUCCCCAACAACCUCCACUGCCAUUACCCACUAGGCAAGUACAUCCUGUUUUCAGAAUCAGCCCAAUAUCAUCUUUCCUAGGGAAUCUUGUCAGACUGCCCUUCAUUACCAACAGACAAAAUAACUACCUUAUCUUUGGUUCUGUCUUCACUCUAGACCUAUGUAGCAUGCUACUUAUAACACUGCAUUGGUUUGUUGGCAUUUGUAUUUUCCACUGAGCAACCAUAACUUAUGUGUAGACAAAAAUUGUAUUGCUCACCUUUGGAUUACUAGGACCUAGCAGUGUUCUGAUUCAGAGUAUGUACUCAAUAAAUUCAUCUUGAAAAGUGAAUGAAUGAAUAAA